UAUCUGAUGCACCAAGCCAUAAAAUCGGACGAGCUAAGCAGCACUUCAUCAAAUAGAAAUGGUAUAUAUGUGAUUGAUCCUAAGAAGGCCCUGAAGAAACAACUAGAUUAUAGAAAGAGCACAUUUCAAACUUCAAAUAACAUGAAUGAAAGCCAGAGAUGACUACUACUCCUUGUGAAGAUUUUUGGAAUACCCUUUUAACUAUCUUCUUACUUCCAUUCCUUGUCCUUCUGCAGUUUAUUCUCCACCCAGCAGCCAAAAAGAUCCUUUUAAUCACGAAUAUGAUUAUGUAAUUUCUCUGCUGAAAGGCUCUGAAUGCUUCCCUGUCUCCCAUGAAGAAAAAACUUAACUAUACUAUUGGUGGAAAUAGUGCAGCCAUUAUGGAAAACAAUAUGGAGGUUCUUCAAUGAAAUAGAACUACCAGGUGAUACAGCAAUUCUACUUCUGGGUAUUUAUCCAAAAGAACUGAAAUUAGGAUCUUGAAAAGAUAUUAGCACUCCCAUGUUCAUUGUGGAACCAUUCACAAUAGCCAUGAUGUGGAAAUGGCUUAAAUGUACAUCAAUAGAUGAAUGGAUUUUUAAAAAUGUGGUAUAGAUGUACAACAAAAUAUUACUCAGACUUCAAAAGGAGGAAAUUCUGUGAUAUGAGCCAACAUGGAUGGACCUUGAAGACAUUAUGCUAGGUGAAAUAAGCCAGUUACAGAAGGCCAAAUACCAUAUGUUUCCAUUUAUGUGAGAUAUUUAAAAUAGUCAAUUGAUAGAAGCAGAGUGGGGGCUGAGGGGAGGGGGGAAACAGGAAAUUGUUAAUAAGUGGGUAUAUAAUUUCAGUUACGCAAGGUAAAUAAGUUCUAAGGAUUUUCUAUAAAAUAUUGUGCUGAUAGUUAACUAUACUGUAUUAUACACUUAAAAAUCUGUUUAAGGAGGUAGACUGCAUGUUAAGCGUUCUUGCCACAAUAAAAUUUUUAAAUUACUUUAUUUAUUUAUAAUAAAAUCUUUGUGAUUGCCUCUAAGGCUAUUGCUACACACAGUCACGCUCUUAUCUCAGGGCCUUGGCAAGCCAUUUUCUCUCUGCCUAGAUGUUCUACCCCAAUAUUCUGGUGGUUUCCUAUUUCCUCACCUUCAGAUUUUGCUCAAAUACUAUUAUCCCAAUGAAGCCUACUUUCAGUAUCCAUUUAUGAUUGUAACUCAGCCUCUUAUAAUCCUUAUGCCCUGGCAUUCCUCAUAUCUCAGCAAAACACAAUUUUUGAUUGUUUUUUUCAUAUAACAUCAUCAUAAUCCAUAUCACCUCUAAUAUACUAUAUAGUUUUAUUUAUUUCAUGUUUUUUACUGUCUACCUUCUUCUGUGGGUCUAGGUCAAAGCAAGAAACUUUAAGGUCAUGAUGGAGUAGGGUAAAUAUUAGAAGUAACAGCUAGUCUUGCUCCAUGACAUAUUUUCUGAACAAGAAUGCAGAAUGGCAUAGAUUUGCUUAACAAAAGUUUAUAAUCACUUCCAAAAUAGUGAACAUUCAUGUUCUUAGAAAAAGGUACCUAUAGCAUCCCUGAUUAUAUGAUUCUUAAAGGCUGGAGCAUGCCUUACCUUUUUCUGUAUUCAGAGUCUAUUUGAACAUACUAGUACUAUUAAAUUAAUAUAUAAAAUGGACAAAUAAAUGUUCGACAGGUCCUUAAAAGCUAGAGAAACACUUAUUAUAUUUCCAUCCUUAAAGUCUAUGCUCUGUGAGAGUACUCAUAAUGUAUACACACACGUUACAUAGUAAUGUAGAUGGAAAAGAUACACACAUACGGAC
rnacentral:lncRNA from 1 species